rnacentral:rRNA from 1 species
AGAUGCUAAUACCGCAUAACAACGUUGUUCGCAUGAACAACGUUUCAAAGAUGGCCUCUGGCUAUCACUUCUGGAUGGACCUGCGGUGCAUUAGCUUGUUGGUGGGGUAGUGGCCUACCAAGGCGAUGAUGCAUAGCCGAGUUGAGAGACUGAUCGGCCACAAUGGGACUGAGACACGGCCCAUACUCCUACGGGAGGCAGCAGUAGGGAAUCUUCCACAAUGGGCGCAAGCCUGAUGGAGCAACACCGCGUGAGUGAAGAAGGGCUUCGGCUCGUAAAGCUCUGUUGUUAAAGAAGAACAUGCGUGAGAGUAACUGUUCACGCAUUGACGGUAUUUAACCAGAAAGUCACGGCUAACUACGUGCCAGCAGCCGCGGUAAUACGUAGGUGGCAAGCGUUAUCCGGAUUUAUUGGGCGUAAAGAGAGUGCAGGCGGUUUACUAAGUCUGAUGUGAAAGCCUUCGGCUUAACCGGAGAAGGGCAUCGGAAACUGGCUAACUUGAGUGCAGAAGAGGGUAGUGGAACUCCAUGUGUAGCGGUGGAAUGCGUAGAUAUAUGGAAGAACACCAGUGGCGAAGGCGGCUACCUGGUCUGUAACUGACGCUGAGACUCGAAAGCAUGGGUAGCGAACAGGAUUAGAUACCCUGGUAGUCCAUGCCGUAAACGAUGAGUGGUAGGUGUUGGAGGGUUUCCGCCCUUCAGUGCCCGGAGCUAAACGCAUUAAGCACUCCGCCUGGGGAGUAGGACCGCAAGGUUGAAACUCAAAGGAAUUGACGGGGGCCCGCACAAGCGGUGGAGCAUGUGGUUUAAUUCGAAGCUACGCGAAGAACCUUACCAGGUCUUGACAUCUUGCGCCAACCCUAGAGAUAGGGCGUUUCCUUCGGGAACGCAAUGACAGGUGGUGCAUGGUCGUCGUCAGCUCGUGUCGUGAGAUGUUGGGUUAAGUCCCGCAACGAGCGCAACCCUUGUUACUAGUUGCCAGCAUUCAGUUGGGCACUCUAGUGAGACUGCCGGUGACAAACCGGAGGAAGGUGGGGACGACGUCAGAUCAUCAUGCCCCUUAUGACCUGGGCUACACACGUGCUACAAUGGACUGUACAACGAGUCGCGAACUCGCGAGGGCAAGCAAAUCUCUGAAAACCGUUCUCAGUUCGGACUGCAGGUUGCAACUCGCCUGCACGAAGUCGGAAUCGCUAGUAAUCGCGGAUCAGCAUGCCGCGGUGAAUACGUUCCCGGGCCUCGCACACACCGCCCGUCA